CCUACGGGGGGCAGCAGUCGGGAAUAUUGCGCAAUGGAGGAAACUCUGACGCAGUGACGCCGCGUAUAGGAAGAAGGUUUUCGGAUUGUAAACUAUUGUCGUCAGGGAAGAUAAAAGACUGUAUCAAAGGAGGAAGCCCCGGCUAACCAUGUGCCAGCAGCCGCGGUAAUACAUAGGGGGCAAGCGUUAUCCGGAAUUAUUGGGUGUAAAGGGUACGUAGGCGGAAGAACAAGUUGGUUGUGAAAUCCCUCGGCUCAACUGAGGAACUGCAACCAAAACUAGUCUCCUUGAGUGUCGGAGAGGAAAGUAGAAUUCCAGGUGUAGCGGUGAAAUGCGUAGAUAUUAGGAGGAACACCAGUGGCGAAGGCGACUUUCUGGACGAUAACUGACGUUGAGGCGCGAAAGUGUGGGGAGCAAACAGGAUUAGAUACCCGAGUAGUC
rnacentral:rRNA from 1 species